GGCCCCAUCGUCUAGCGGUUAGGACGCAAGAUUCUCAUUCUUGAAACCCGGGUUCGAUUCCCGGUGGGGUCGCCA
rnacentral:tRNA from 1 species